rnacentral:rRNA from 1 species
AGUGAACGCUGGCGGUAGGCCUAACACAUGCAAGUCGAACGGCAGCACAGUAAGAGCUUGCUCUUACGGGUGGCGAGUGGCGGACGGGUGAGGAAUACAUCGGAAUCUACUUUUUCGUGGGGGAUAACGUAGGGAAACUUACGCUAAUACCGCAUACGACCUACGGGUGAAAGCAGGGGAUCUUCGGACCUUGCGCGAUUGAAUGAGCGGAUGUCGGAUUAGCUAGUUGGCGGGGUAAAGGCCCACCCAGGCGACGAUCCGUAGCUGGUCUGAGAGGAUGAUCAGCGACACUGGAACUGGGACACGGUCCAGACUCCUACGGGAGGCAGCAGUGGGGAAUAUGGGACAAAGGGCGCAAGCCUGAUCCAGCCAUACCGCGUGGGUGAAGACGGCCUUCGGGUUGUAAAGCCCUUUUGUUGGGAAAGAAAAGCAGCAGGUUAAUACCCAGCUGUUCUGACGGUACCCAAAGAAUAAGCACCGGCUAACUUCGUG